rnacentral:rRNA from 1 species
UACGAAGGGUGCAAGCGUUACUCGGAAUUACUGGGCGUAAAGCGUGCGUAGGUGGUUCGUUAAGUCUGAUGUGAAAGCCCUGGGCUCAACCUGGGAAUGGCAUUGGAAACUGGCGACCUAGAGUGCGGUAGAGGGUAGUGGAAUUCCCGGUGUAGCAGUGAAAUGCGUAGAGAUCGGGAGGAACACCCGUGGCGAAGGCGGCUCUCUGGGACGGUACUGACGCUGAGACGCGAAAGCGUGGGGAGCGAACAGG